rnacentral:rRNA from 1 species
GUAGUUAGCCGUGGCUUCCUCCUCGGGUACCGUCAUUAUCGUCCCCGAAGACAGAGGUUUACAAUCCGAAAACCUUCUUCCCUCACGCGGCGUCGCUGGGUCAGGCUUGCGCCCAUUGCCCAAUAUUCCCUGCUGCUGCCUCCCGUAGGAGUCUGGACCGUGUCUCAGUUCCAGUGUGGCCGAUCAGCCUCUCAGCUCGGCUACCCAUCGUCGGCUUGGUGGGCUGUUAUCUCACCAACUACCUAAUGGGACGCGAACCCCUCUAAAAGCGAUAAAUCUUUGACCUCUUCCCGAUGCCGGGUUGUGGUCUUAUGCGGUAUUAGCAGUUGUUUCCACCUGUUAUUCCCCACUCUUAGGCAGGUUGUUCACGCGUUACUCACCCGUGCGCCACUAGAAUUAUCAAUUCCAUCCGAAAAACUUCCUUAAUAAUCCCCGUUCGACUUGCAUGUGUUAGGCACGCCGCCAGCGUCUCCUGAGCACGANACAACUACUANA